rnacentral:rRNA from 1 species
CCUACGGGGGGCAGCAGUGGGGAAUAUUGCGCAAUGGGCGAAAGCCUGACGCAGCGACGCCGCGUGAGGGAUGAAGGUCUUCGGAUCGUAAACCUCUGUCAGCAGGGAAGAACGGUCACUGUGCUAAUCAGCAGUGAAUUGACGGUACCUGCAAAGGAAGCACCGGCUAACUCCGUGCCAGCAGCCGCGGUAAUACGGAGGGUGCGAGCGGUAAUCGGAAGUACUGGGCGUAAAGCUCUCGUAGGUGGUAUGUCAAGUCAAGGGUGAAAUCCCCGCGCUCAACGGGGGAACUGCCUUUGAAACUGGCAAACUGGAGUAUGUGAGAGGAUAGUGGAAUUCGAGGUGUAGGGGUGAAAUCCGUAGAUAUCUGGAGGAACAUCAGUGGCGAAGGCGACUAUCUGGCACAUAACUGACGCUGAGGAGCGAAAGCGUGGGUAGCAAACAGGAUUAGAUACCCCUGUAGUC